rnacentral:rRNA from 1 species
UACGUAGGGUGCAAGCGUUGUCCGGAAUUAUUGGGCGUAAAGAGCUCGUAGGCGGUUUGUCGCGUCUGCUGUGAAAACUCGGGGCUUAACUCCGGGCCUGCAGUGGGUACGGGCAGACUAGAGUGCGGUAGGGGAGACUGGAAUUCCUGGUGUAGCGGUGAAAUGCGCAGAUAUCAGGAGGAACACCAAUAGCGAAGGCGGCUCUCUGGGCCUUACCUGACGCUGAGGAGCGAAAGCGUGGGUAGCGAACAGG